rnacentral:rRNA from 1 species
GACGAACGCUGGCGGCGUGCCUAACACAUGCAAGUCGAACGAGAUCUAUGGAGUGCUUGCACUCCGGAAGAUCUAGUGGCGAACGGGUGAGUAACACGUGAGAAACCUGCCCCAGACUCUGGGAUAACCUCGGGAAACCGAAGCUAAUACCGGAUAUUCUCCUUUGGUCGCAUGGCCAGUUGAGGAAAGUUUUUCGGUCUGGGAGGGUCUCGCGGCCUAUCAGCUAGUUGGUGGGGUAACGGCCCACCAAGGCUACGACGGGUAGCUGGUUUGAGAGAACGAUCAGCCACACUGGAACUGAGACACGGUCCAGACUCCUACGGGAGGCAGCAGUGGGGAAUCUCGCGCAAUGGGCGAAAGCCUGACGCAGCAACGCCGCGUGCGGGAUGAAGGCCUCGGUUGUAACCGACGUUUCUAGCAGGGACGGAAAGUAGACGGUACCGUACGCAGAAGAAGACCCGG